rnacentral:rRNA from 1 species
GACGAACGCUGGCGGCGUGCUUAACACAUGCAAGUCGAGCGGUAAGGCCCUUCGGGGUACACGAGCGGCGAACGGGUGAGUAACACGUGGGUGACCUGCCCUUAGCUCUGGGAUAAGCCUGGGAAACUGGGUCUAAUACCGGAUAUGACCUCAUGACGCAUGUUGUGGGGUGGAAAGCCUUGUGCGGCUAGGGGAUGGGGCCC